rnacentral:rRNA from 1 species
ACAACAUUCCGAAAGGAAUGCUAAUACCGAAUGAAGCGCAGGAGAGGCAUCUCUCCUGCGUGAAAGAUGGCCUCUAUAUAUAAGCUAUCACCUGUCGAUGGGCCUGCGUCUGAUUAGCUGGUAGGUGAGGUAACGGCUCACCUAGGCGACGAUCAGUAGCCGGUCUGAGAGGAUGAACGGCCACAUUGGGACUGAGACACGGCCCAG